GAAAAAAGCUAGAGGUGCUAAUAAUUUAUUUACUUAAAGUUGUUGCAUUUUCCCAAGUUCUUUGUUUUAAGCCAUACUUCUUUUGAAUGUUUAAAAUUUAUAUGUUCAUUUAUAAAUGUGAUAAGUGGAACUUUGAGAAGUCUUGUUUUGUAUAUUUGAAUGUUGUGAUAUUUAUCUUGUCAUGAUUUUGUUGCCUAUAUUAGGUUAUGUUCACGUGUCUAUUCUAUUUUAAGUUCAAGUUCACAGGCUUCCGAAAGUCCAUAAUUUUGCAACAUUAGGAUUCUGUGUGUAACUUUUGAGGAAUUUAGCCUCAUGUAAAAUACCAUAUAAUGAUUCAUGUAGUUUCCUUUUGUUUGGAAAUCAUAAGAUCCAUCUAGUAUUUGAGGAACAUAUAGGAGCGUAGUAAAUGCUUAAGCAUCCCAAUAAUUCACCCAUGAUGUUGGACUGUAUGAGAAUCUGAUGGCGCCAAUGGCUGUCAGCAAAAUUUAAGGAUCAAGGUCCCUGGUUUUGUAGUGUAUACGUUGGAAAACACUAAACACCCACCCUGAUACCGAAACAUAUGAGAAAUCCACUAAUUUUCCUCCUUCCAAAUGAACCAUAAUAUCCAAGGAGUACUACCAAUUUAUCUAAGAACUGAAGUUGGUAUAGAAGGCGAAACAUAAUGGUCUUAGUAAUUUUUGUUUGAUACUGAUAUUUUUGAAUAGGUCUGCUUGCAUCAAUUAUUGGUAUUUAUUUGAUGGGUAUCUAAUCAGCUGGAAUCAAGAAGUGUGUAGUGUACAGCCAAAAAUAUAUUGUCUUCCUGAUUUACUAUAAUUCAGUAAUAUAUGUGAAAUAUAAGAAGCUUACUUUCUAAUUCUUGAUCACUUUUCUUUUUGAUUUUUUAUUCUUGAAUUUUACAUAUCUAGCUGUUGCAAAUUGCCCUGGACUUAGUUCCUGUUAUUGUUUUGGUUUUCGUACUAGAGGAGUUUGGUGGAGUUAAUUUGCAGCUUCUUUGUGGCAUCAUGGACUGGAGUUGUCAAGUACCAUGGGCCGCGGCCUAGCAUGCGACCUAAACAGGUUUUUGUGGCUAAUCAUACCUCCAUGAUUGAUUUUAUCAUCCUAGAACAGAUGACUGCUUUUUCUGUUAUUAUGCAGAAACAUCCUGGUUGGGUUGGACUAUUGCAAAGCACUAUAUUAGAGAGCUUAGGUUGUAUCUGGUUCAAUCGUUCAGAGUCGAAGGAUCGUGAAAUUGUAGCGAAAAAGUUAAGGGAACAUGUUCAGGGGGCUGACAAUAACCCUCUUCUCAUAUUUCCUGAGGGAACUUGUGUCAACAACCACUAUACUGUCAUGUUCAAGAAGGGUGCAUUUGAACUGGGCUGUACUGUGUGUCCAAUUGCAAUCAAGUACAAUAAAAUCUUUGUUGAUGCUUUUUGGAACAGCCGGAAGCAGUCCUUCACAAUGCAUCUGCUGCAACUUAUGACAUCCUGGGCUGUUGUUUGUGAUGUGUGGUACUUGGAGCCCCAAAAUCUGAAACAUGGAGAGACACCCAUCGAAUUUGCCGAGAGGGUCAGGGACAUAAUAUCUGUUCGAGCAGGUCUCAAAAAGGUUCCUUGGGAUGGAUAUCUGAAGUACUCUCGCCCUAGCCCAAAACAUAGAGAGCGCAAGCAACAAAGCUUUGCUGAGUCAGU
rnacentral:misc_RNA from 1 species